UACGUGAGGGUGCGAGCGUUAAUCGGAAUUACUGGGCGUAAAGCGUGCGCAGGCGGUGAUGUAAGACAGGUGUGAAAUCCCCGGGCUUAACCUGGGAACUGCAUUUGUGACUGCAUCGCUGGAGUGCGGCAGAGGGGGAUGGAAUUCCGCGUGUAGCAGUGAAAUGCGUAGAUAUGCGGAGGAACACCGAUGGCGAAGGCAAUCCCCUGGGCCUGCACUGACGCUCAUGCACGAAAGCGUGGGGAGCAAACAGG
rnacentral:rRNA from 1 species